AUGGUAUUCCUUUCAUUUCUUCAUCUCUAUUUGAUAAAUGUUUGUAACUGCAGAGCCUAUUGGUACUGUAAAGGCAUGUACAUCUCCAAGUUCUUCAAACCUGGUUUAACCAAUUUUAAAGGCAAUGUGGAACAAAGCAUUCCAACAAAGACCUUGAAAGAUUCCCAAGUAAGCAACCUGCCAAGGCAAGAAGCACAAAUCAGGGCUGUUGAAGUACUCAAGAACAGCAUUGUCACCCAGUUACAGAUACAGGAGAUGCUUCUGAUUUUAGGAACCACAGAUAUUCUGCUUAAACCCAGCAACUGCUCUGUAGAGCCUUUGAAGGAAGCAGUGACACAGCAGGAACGGGAUCCUUAAUUGUCUGGGUUGCAAACGAUGCCUGAUGGUUGGCUUGCUUGCAGGUUUAGUUCCAUAUACAUAAAAAUAAGAAUAUGAUUUUGAAUAUAAUAUAUUCUAUAAACUACAAUCUCUUCCCUCUAAAAUAAAAGUGCUAAUAACUCUGUGGCUUUAGUAUAAAAAUUAUCCAAGAGCUCAAUAGUGGCUGGCCAUACUGAAUCAUUUUUUUCUGUCAGACUGCAAGGUAAAAGUUACAUCCAAAUUCCUAAAUGUAAUCUAGCAUGAAAACCUGGAUUGUUGUUUUCCAUACAGCAGUGUCUGACACAGCUUGCAAGUUAUGCUGUUCUGAACCAAUCUAAUGUAUUCUCUUAGUAAACAAAAAAAAUACAAGGACUUGUUAUAAAUAAGGUGACCCAAAUCAGAAAUAAAGAAACAAAGUUUAUUUUUCCCAAAUUAAUAAAACUGAGAUGCAACGAAAAAAAACAAAAGCACAACAACUAAUAGCCAAAUUGCAAUGAAACCAGCAAAAAUUCCCGCCACAGCAUAGUUCUAAUUCGAUCGAAAUGGGAGUCGGAUGCUAGACCGGCACGCGCCAGAUCUCUGUGCCGCCCGCUCCACCAUGUGCUCCCAGAGUCCAGUAUUUAUACUUUUUAUUCUCCUCCAGGCAAGGCUUUUCCUCGGAGAUGGCUGGAUUAUAACAUUCAUGAGUCCUUUCUAUUCAGUUUAAUUUCUUCCUGAGCCAGGCCUGAAUUGAGUUCUCAGAAUUAGCCUGAAACAGUUUUCAGUUGCAAAGAGGGGUCCCUUCUCCAGACAAUCUGAUGUGGAUUGGAGCUCCACAGGGGUGGAGUUUCGACUGUCUGAAACUUAUGACUAAGCCAACUCGGCUUUUCACUUGCAGAUGGGGCUGGCAUUCCUCUGUUGCUCUCUCUCAGGCAGCUUUAUCAACGUCUCCUGCAACCUGUAAACUUUUAAUUUCUCAUGCCCAGAUUCAUAUACAAUGUGUUUUUAUAACAGACUGAAUCCUUCCCUAUGCAAAAGCCACGGGAAGUCUUUGUUUCUUAGCAAAAAAAUUAAUUUUUCCAACUACAAAUUGUUGUCUUCAUAAAAGACUGUAGGAUUCAAAACUGUUCUCUAAAAAGUUUAAAAAUUUACACUUAAACUUUACCAUUGGGACUAUGAAACAUACCCCUCCAAUACUGCACGGUAAUUGGUCUUCCAUACAGAUUCCAUCCAGCAGAGCUUUUGCAUAAGGCACUGAUACUUUGUGUUUAAAGCAGACAUAUCCAAAAUGCAAUAUAUGAGGCAGGCAGGAGACAAUGUUUCUUCCUUUAUAUGCCUUUAUUAAAGACACAGCUCUUUUAUAUGUAUAGGUGCUUGGGAGAGCAAUGUGCUCUUCAUCCAUUGAAAUGCUGAGAAGAAGGGGGGAUGGGCACCCUGCUGCUUACACGGCCUGGUGGGGAAUUGGCCACUCCCCCCUCACAGGAGACAAGCUCCCGAUGAAUUCCCAAUUUCAAUUCACUGCUGCUGAGGGGUCAUUUGUUUAGAAUGUUUUUGUAUUUACGGCUAGAUAAAGACAACUGGUUUUGAGAUGAAGAUCUGUCGGGUUUCACACUCCUGUCUUCAUUGUUGUCAUUAUUCUGUUUUGGGCUGUUGUUGGGGAGAAUUAUUGUUUGAUUUUGGAAGCUGUGUUGAUUUUCUUCAGGCGUUGCAUCCUGGGAUCUCUAAUUACCAUAUAUCUUGCUACAGAGGUAAGGGGCUUACAGAGGCGGAGGCUACAGAGG
ensembl:lncRNA